rnacentral:rRNA from 1 species
UACAGAGGGUGCGAGCGUUGUUCGGAAUUACUGGGCGUAAAGGGCGCGUAGGCGGCCAACUAAGUCAGACGUGAAAUCCCUCGGCUCAACCGGGGAACUGCGUCUGAUACUGGAUGGCUUGAAUUCGGGAGAGGGAUGCGGAAUUCCAGGUGUAGCGGUGAAAUGCGUAGAUAUCUGGAGGAACACCGGUGGCGAAGGCGGCAUCCUGGACCGAGAUUGACGCUGAUGCGCGAAAGCCAGGGGAGCAAACGGG